rnacentral:pre_miRNA from 1 species
CAUUAGCUAUUAUCAAAGUUUUCGUGCUCAACUUUGAUCGUCCGUCUUAUUUACAAUUUUUUUAAAUUAGUAUUUUUCUUGUUAUGAGAUGAUAAAAUAUGAAUAGUAAUUUACUUAUGACUUAUGUUUUUAUUUUUUUAAAAAAAAAAUUAAAUAAGACAGACGAUCAAAGUUGGACGCGGAAAACUAUGACUGUACUUAAA